rnacentral:rRNA from 1 species
AUUGAACGCUGGCGGCAGGCCUAACACAUGCAAGUCGAACGAGUGGCGGACGGGUGAGUAAUGUCUGGGAAAAUGCCCGAUGGAGGGGGAUAACUAAUGGAAACGGUAGCUAAUACCGCAUACCAUGGGAUGUGCCCAGAUGGGAUUAGCUAUUAGGUGGGGUAAGGGCUCACCUAGGCGACGAUCCCUAGCUGGUCUGAGAGGAUGCACAGCCACCCUGGCACUGAGACACGGUCCAGACUCCUACGCGAGGCAGCAGUGGGGAAUAUUGCACAAUGGGCGCAAGCCUGAUGCAGCCAUGCCGCGUGUAUGAAGAAGGCCUUCGGGUUGUAAAGUACUUUCAGCGAGGAUGCGUUACUCGCAGAAGAAGCACCGGCUAACUCCGUGCCAGCAGCCGCGGUAAUAC